CUGGUUCUUCAUACUCUGUAGAUGUAGAUGCCACUGGUUCUUCACGUUCUGCAGAUGUAGAUGCCACUGGUUCUUCACCUUCUGCAGAUGUAGAUGCCACCACCGCCAUCUCUUGCGGGGCGGUUGAACUUUCGACUCUCGGUUCGAACAGGCGUCUGGACACACGGACCAGGAUUGUUCGUAUCUCUGAAAGUUUGUAAGUGGAGGAGUCACUGUAAUAAAAAUAAAAAUAUUUUACCAGGUGUAAGUGGAGGAGUCACUGUAAUAAAAA